rnacentral:rRNA from 1 species
GAUGAACGCUAGCGACAGGCCUAACACAUGCAAGUCGAGGGGCAGCACAUGAGUAGCAAUACGAUGGUGGCGACCGGCGCACGGGUGAGUAACGCGUAUGCAACCUACCCAUUACAGGGGGAUAACUCUCGGAAACGGGAACUAAUACCGCAUAAUACUAUAAAGCUGCAUGGUUUUAUAGUUAAAGAUUUACGGAGGUUGUAGAUGGGCAUGCGUGACAUUAGCUAGGUGGUAAGGUAACGGCUUACCAAGGCAACGAUGUCUAGGGGUUCUGAGAGGAAGGUCCCCCACACUGGUACUGAGACACGGACCAGACUCCUACGGGAGGCAGCAGUGAGGAAUAUUGGUCAAUGGAUGCAAGUCUGAACCAGCCAUGUCGCGUGCAGGAUGACGGCCCUAUGGGUUGUAAACUGCUUUUGUACGGGAAGAAAAAAAGCUACGUGUAGCUUAUUGCCGGUACCGUACGAAUAAGGAUCGGCUAACUCCGUGCCAGCCGCCGCAGUAAAAC